rnacentral:rRNA from 1 species
CAUGACCGUAAGGACAUGUGGACUGCAUAGAAGUGAGAAUGUUGGCAUGAGUAGCGAGAUGUGGGUGAGAAUCCCACAGGCCGUAAACCCAAGGUUUCCAGGGGAAGGUUCGUCCGCCCUGGGUUAGUCGGGACCUAAGCCGAGGCCGAAAGGCGUAGGUGAUGGACAACAGGUUGAUAUUCCUGUACCGCCAAUAAGCGUUUGAGAGAUGGAGUGACACAGUAGGAUAAGCUAACCGCACUGUUGGUUAUGUGCGGGCAAGUAUUGAGGCAGUUCCGAUAGGCAAAUCCGUCGGAAUAAUGCUGGGGUACGAUGCGGAGCGAAAUUUAGUAGCGAAGUAGCUGAUUUCACACUGUCGAGAAAAGUCUCUAUCGAGGUUAAAGGUGCCUGUACCGCAAACCGACACAGGUGGGUGAGGAGAGUAUCCUAAGGCCAGCGAGAGAACUGUUGUUAAGGAACUCGGCAAAAUGACCCCGUAACUUCGGGAGAAGGGGUGCCUUCGAAAGAAGGCCGCAGAGAAUAGGCCCAAGCGACUGUUUACCAAAAACAUAGGUUUCUGCUAAGUCGCAAGACGAUGUAUAGGAGCUGACGCCUGCCCGGUGCUGGAAGGUUAAGGGGAUCUGUUAGAGCAAUCGAAGCAGUGAACUUAAGCCCCAGUAAACGGCGGCCGUAACUAUAACGGUCCUAAGGUAGCGAAAUUCCUUGUCGGGUAAGUUCCGACCCGCACGAAAGGCGUAACGAUUUGGGCACUGUCUCAACAACAGACUCGGUGAAAUUGUAAUACCGGUGAAGAUGCCGGUUACCUGCGACAGGACGGAAAGACCCCAUGGAGCUUUACUGUAGCUUGACAUUGAGUCUCGGUGCUACAUGUACAGGAUAGGUGGGAGACUAUGAAGCAUGGACGUCAGUCUGUGUGGAGUCAUCCUUGGGAUACCACCCUUGUAGUACUGGGAUUCUAACCAGAGGCCAUGAAUCUGGUCUUGGGACACUGUCAGGUGGACAGUUUGACUGGGGCGGUCGCCUCCCAAAAAGUAACGGAGGCGCUCAAAGGUUCUCUCAGUACGGUCGGAAAUCGUACGAAGAGUGUAAAGGCAAAAGAGAGCUUGAUUGCAAGACAUACAGGUCGAGCAAGGACGAAAGUCGGACUUAGUGAUCCGGUGGUUCCGCAUGGAAGGGCCAUCGCUCAACGGAUAAAAGCUACCCUGGGGAUAACAGGCUUAUCUCCCCCAAGAGUUCACAUCGACGGGGAGGUUUGGCACCUCGAUGUCGGCUCGUCGCAUCCUGGGGCUGUAGUCGGUCCCAAGGGUUGGGCUGUUCGCCCAUUAAAGCGGCACGCGAGCUGGGUUCAGAACGUCGUGAGACAGUUCGGUCCCUAUCCGUCGCGGGCGUAGGAAAUUUGAGAGGAUCUGCUCCUAGUACGAGAGGACCAGAGUGGACUUACCGCUGGUGUACCAGUUGUUCUGCCAAGAGCAUCGCUGGGUAGCUAUGUAGGGAAGGGAUAAACGCUGAAAGCAUCUAAGUGUGAAGCCCACCUCAAGAUGAGAUUUCCCAUGAUUUUAUAUCAGUAAGAGCCCUGAGAGAUGAUCAGGUUGAUAGGUUAGAAGUGGAAGUGUGGUGACACAUGUAGCGGACUAAUACUAAUAGCUCGAGGACUUAUCCAA